UACGUAGGGGGCUAGCGUUGUCCGGAAUCAUUGGGCGUAAAGAGCGUGUAGGCGGUCCGGUAAGUCCGCUGUGAAAGUCGGGGGCUCAACCCUCGAAUGCCGGUGGAUACUGUCGGGCUAGAGUGCGGAAGAGGCGAGUGGAAUUCCUGGUGUAGCGGUGGAAUGCGCAGAUAUCAGGAGGAACACCGAUGGCGAAGGCAGUUCGCUGGGACGGUACUGACGCUGAGGCGCGAAAGUGUGGGGAGCGAACAGG
rnacentral:rRNA from 1 species